AACGAACGCUGGCGGCGCGCCUAAUACAUGCAAGUCGAGCGAGAAGACGUAGCAAUACGUUUGUAAAGCGGCGAACGGGUGAGGAAUACAUGGGUAACCUACCCUCGAGUGGGGAAUAACUAGCCGAAAGGUUAGCUAAUACCGCGUACGCUCCUUGGACUUCGGUUCAGGGAGGAAAGCGAUACCGUGGGUAUCGCGCUCUUGGAUGGGCUCAUGUCCUAUCAGCUUGUUGGUGAGGAACGGCUCACCAAGGCUUCGACGGGUAGCUGGUCUGAGAGGACGAUCAGCCACACUGGCACUGCGACACGGGCCAGACUCCUACGGGAGGCAGCAGUAAGGAAUAUUGCGCAAUGGGCGAAAGCCUGACGCAGCGACGCCGCGUGGGGGAUGAAGGUCUUCGGAUUGUAAACCCCUUUCGGGAGGGAAGAUGGAAUGGGGUAACCCAUUCGGACGGUACCUCCAGAAGCAGCCACGGCUAACUUCGUGCCAG
rnacentral:rRNA from 1 species